rnacentral:rRNA from 1 species
AAAAACAUGUCUUUUAGAAAUUAAUUUAAAGUCUAGCCUGCCCACUGAAAAUUUUUAAAUGGCCGCAGUAUUCUAACUGUGCAAAGGUAGCAUAAUCAUUAGUCUUUUAAUUGAAGGCUGGAAUGAAUGGUUGGAUGAAAUAUUAACUGUUUCAUAAAAAUUUAUGAUAGAAUUUUAUUUUUUAGUCAAAAAGCUAAAAUAUUAUUAAAAGACGAGAAGACCCUAUAAAUCUUUAUAUUUAAAAAAUUUAAAUUAUAAAGAAAAAUUGAAUUUAAAUUUUAAAAAAUAUUUUAUUGGGGUGAUAUUAAAAUUUAAUAAACUUUUAAUUUAUUAUUUACAUUAAUUAAUGAAUUUUUGAUCCAUUUAUUAUGAUUAAAAAAUUAAGUUACUUUAGGGAUAACAGCGUAAUUUUUUUAGAGAGUUCAUAUUGAUAAAAAAGAUUGCGACCUCGAUGUUGGAUUAAGAUACAGUUUUAGGUGCAGCAGCUUAAACUUAAAGUCUGUUCGACUUUUAAAUUCUUACAUGAUCUG